GAUAAAGAUUGACAAUUAAAGAUGACAAGCUAGCAUGUCUUCAUUUGUGGUCAGUAUUGAAAGUAGAUUUGAUUUCUAGAUUUUCUACCUUGUCUUCGAAAAUAGAGGGCAGAAGACCAUACUGACUUACGUGCAGAAGUUGCAGAGCUGCUAACAAAUCAUGAGGCUUGUAAGCUUGUGUUGAAAUUUCUUAUGAUCUAUAUGUUCCAGGAAAAUGGCUAAUUUUGUAAGGGUUGAAUCAUUUGCAAGUUCUUGGUGGA
rnacentral:misc_RNA from 1 species